rnacentral:rRNA from 1 species
AAAUCAGGUAGGAGUACCCGCUGAACUUAAGCAUAUCAAUAAGCGGAGGAAAAGAAACCAACCGGGAUUGCCUUAGUAACGGCGAGUGAAGCGGCAAAAGCUCAAAUUUGAAAUCUGGUACCUUCGGUGCCCGAGUUGUAAUUUGGAGAGGGCAACUUUGGGGCCGUUCCUUGUCUAUGUUCCUUGGAACAGGACGUCAUAGAGGGUGAGAAUCCCGUGUGGCGAGGAGUGCGGUUCUUUGUAAAGUGCCUUCGAAGAGUCGAGUUGUUUGGGAAUGCAGCUCUAAGUGGGUGGUAAAUUCCAUCUAAAGCUAAAUAUUGGCGAGAGACCGAUAGCGAACAAGUACAGUGAUGGAAAGAUGAAAAGAACUUUGAAAAGAG